CCUACGGGGCGCAGCAGUAGGGAAUCUUCCACAAUGGACGAAAGUCUGAUGGAGCAACGCCGCGUGAGUGAAGAAGGGUUUCGGCUCGUAAAGCUCUGUUGGUAGUGAAGAAAGAUAGAGGUAGUAACUGGCCUUUAUUUUACGGUAAUUACUUAGAAAGUCACGGCUAACUACGUGCCAGCAGCCGCGGUGAUACGUAGGUGGCAAGCGUUGUCCGGAUUUAUUGGGCGUAAAGCGAGUGCAGGCGGUUCAAUAAGUCUGAUGUGUAAGACUUCGGCUCAACCGGAG
rnacentral:rRNA from 1 species